CCGUGCAGGAGGCGCUCGUCGGCCUCGCGCGCCACCGUCGGCGGCGCCGAGGCCUCCUCGUUCGGGAAGCCUAUCGCGCUCUCGCCCGCGCAGGAGGCGCUCGUCGUCAUCGCCCUCGUCCACCGCGCCGAGGGCUCCUCCUUGUCCGGGGAGCCCCUCGCACUCUCGAACGGGUAGAAGGCGCCUCCUCCCUCCGCUGCCCACCCUCACGCUGGUGACCCCCCGCCCUUCUCCUCCCUCCACGGCCCUCCACUCACGCCGACGAACCCCCGCCCUCCUCCAUGGAUUUCUUCGAUACUCUUCUGAUUUCUCGUCGCGAAACGAACUGAAUUUUGGGGAUUCUUUGUAGGGAAUUUUCGGUCGAGAUGCAGGGAUAUUCAGUUAGUGGAAGAGCGGAUCCAUGCGAAGGCGAGAAAUGGUUUGUACAUGAUCUGUUUUUUGUGCUAGGAAUCUAUUUGAUUUGGGUGAUUAUUUAUCAGACUUUUUUGGUAGAGGGAGAAACCCAAAUCGAUUUGGGAGGAAGAGAAGGAGCCCUCUGUGAACAGAGGAUACUUAUGAGAUGUUUUAAUUCAUGUCAUUAGAUUUCUACUGAACAUUAAUCAAAUUCUUAUGAUGUGUUACUUAUGAUAUUAAACAGCAUUCAAAAUGAUGGUGAUUGGUUGAACACAUGGAAUUCCUAACCAUAUUAUUAUACUAAGCAAUACUUUUUGUUGUACAUGGGCAAUAAUCGGAUCCUAGAAGGCAAUAAUAUUCUAUUAAAUAGGCAAAGUACUAUAUCAAUUAAGUAAAACACUACUCGUAUCAAGUAAAAGAGUUGUUAGCUGUUACAGCUUAAGCAAAGUAAUAUCUCAACUAGGACCAAAGGUUCUAGUUUCAUUGUACUUUCCUUCAUAUUUUGGACAUUCACUCAUAUUAUAGUGCAUCGCAUCUUGCAUGUGCAUCAUCUCUAUGGUUUCAACCAAUGUUUUCGGCAUGUCAUAUGUGCAGUCAAAAUAAUAUGACUACUUCCUAGUGUGAUUAGUAUAAACAGUAAGCUACUUAUCCUCUCUGAUUAUUUGGUUUUCACCCUUUUACACAAUUCAGAGUAUCCUUUUUGUUCAUUGUCAUGCAUCAUGAGCAAAUAUGAUAAUUAGAAGUAAUAUUCUUAUUUAGAAACAAUGCUAUUCUCUUUUAGCAAAGUACUAUUCUCAGUUGGCAAAGUUCUAUAUUCUAAGAUAGGCAAAGUAGUGUUAUUAAUCUGGCAAAAUACUGUUAUUAUUUAGACAAAAUAUUAUUCUUCAGUUCAAUUUAGAAAAAUUUUACGCUUUUUCUCAUCAGUACAUAAGCAUUGCAUAUAAUUUUUUCUCAGUAGCCAAUAAUAUGAUUCCAGAUUAUGCAAAUACAUUUGAGUAGGCAACAAUAUGUUUCUGUACUACACAACAAUAUGAUCUUUGAUAGGCAAAACAAUGUACUGGUGCUAGUCUGCUAACUUCUUGACCUAAUUUGACAGGUUUGUGAGGUCUUCUUACAACCAAAGUAUUUGUGCUGCAAUAAAAAGAAGAAAGAAUGAAACAUCAUUUUUCAAUGUUGCACUUUGUCCUACAAUUAGUGUGCUGCUCGACACGUUGCGGGUUGCUGCUCCAGAAGUUCCAAAUAGGGUGCACGAGGGUGGUUUAUUAAAAGGAUCAGGUUACCAGAUUUUGAACAUGGAUGCAGACUGAAAGACAUUUUGAGUAAUUAGAAGUAAAUACAUAUGGCACUUUGGAGUACAUAUUGAGUGCAUUUUACAAUUUCUGGUUCACAUAGUUCCGUAAUGAAAGUAGUAGACAAAUAAAUAAGUAACUAUGUAGGUCUAAAAAUUGUGUUCUAAAAUGCAUGAUGAUGCAUGACAUUUCUGUGUUCUUUUUUUCUUGGGGUUGAUGCUGUGUGUUCUGAAGUGCUUGUAGAUUAGGACGAGAUGAUGCAGUGCAGUGUGUUUUGAAGUGCUUGUAGAUUAGGACGAGAUGAUGCAGUGCUGUGUGUUCUGAAGUGCUUGUAGAUUAGGACGAGAUGAUGCAGUUGCAGGCACCACAUUGAUUGAGGACCUGAUGAGGUAACUACAAGUGCAGGAGUAAAAUUGUGUAGACAAAACUGUAAUUUCUAACAAGCAUAGAUGCACUUGUAAUAGGAUGCCAAAUUCAUUUUAUUUUAGAUCUUGUAACAUGAAUAAUGGCAGCUCUUUUCAUCAUUCAUCAGGCAAAAGUAUGGUACUAAAUUAGGUUUGUACAUUUACUAAAUUGCUUCAGAGUUUAUUAAGACAUGCCUAAAAUCGAGCAAUUUUUUUGGUUUGUACAUUUACUAAAUUGCUUCAGAGUUUAUUAUGAUAUGCUUUCAACUUUCAACAAAAGUGCUUUUUGGGACUGCAUGAGAAAAAAUAUCAUCGAAAAAUAUUGAAGUAAGAUCUUGUUUUGAUGGUUU